rnacentral:snoRNA from 1 species
UUAUAGGACAGUCCAGCAGACCAUAGUGUAAGUAAGAUAUGAAGGAUUGGAAAUGCCUUAUAGAGUAACAGUAUGGUUUUGCUUUGCCCACAAGUCUAUUUCUUGGACCUGUGAUAAGGCACACAAGACAGAA